AUCUUUGCGCUUGAGGCAACGACGCAAUUAAUAAGGUUCUAACCGAGAUGUGUCUAUUGAAAACUAUUUUCAAACCCCCUCUUGGGCCUGCGUUAAGCCCAGUGCCCUUGAGAAUUUCUGGAAGAGACCCCGGGGCA